rnacentral:rRNA from 1 species
AUUGAACGCUGGCGGCAUGCCUUACACAUGCAAGUCGAACGGCAGCACGGGUGCUUGCACCUGGUGGCGAGUGGCGAACGGGUGAGUAAUAUAUCGGAACGUACCUUAUUGUGGGGGAUAACGCAGCGAAAGCUGUGCUAAUACCGCAUAAUCCCUAAGGGGGAAAGCGGGGGACCGUAAGGCCUCGCGCAAUUAGAGCGGCCGAUACCUGAUUAGCCAGUUGGUGAGGUAAAGGCACACCAAGGCGACGAUCAGUAGCUGGUCUGAGAGGACGUUCUGCCACACUGGGACUGAGACACGGCCCAGACUCCUGCGGGAGGGAGCAGUGGGGAAUUUUGGACAAUGGGGGCAACCCUGAUCCAGCAAUGCCGCGGGAGUGAAGAAGGCCUUCGGGUUGUAAAGCUCUUUUGUCAGGGAAGAAACAGCAGCUCUAACACAGUUUGCGAAUGACGGUACCUGAAGAAUAAGCACCGGCUAACUACGUGCCAGCCGCCGCCGUAA